GACGAACGCUGGCGGCGUGCUUAACACAUGCAAGUGGAGCGACGAACCAGGGCUUGCCCUGGGGCAGAGCCGCGAACGGGUGAGUAACACGUGGGUAACGUGCCCCGAUGACUGGGACAACCCGGGGAAACCCGGGCUAAUACCGGAUGUGCCCCCUCACAUCAGUGAGGUGUGUAAAGGAAGCUUCGGCCUCCGCAUCGGGAUCGGCCCGCGGCCCAUUAGCUUGUUGGCGAGGUAACGGCUCACCAAGGCUGCGAUGGGUAGCUGGUAUGAGAGGACGAUCAGCCACACUGGGACUGAGACACGGCCCAGACUCCUACGGGAGGCAGCAGUGGGGAAUCUUGCGCAAUGCGCGAAAGCGUGACGCAGCAACGCCGCGUGGGGGAAGACGGCCUUCGGGUUGCAAACCCCUUUCAGUUGGGACGAAGGUCGGGCGGUUAACAGCCGGUCAGGCUGACGGUACCUUCACAAGAAGCCCCGGCUAACUACGUG
rnacentral:rRNA from 1 species